GAGAUCCAGUGGAGCGGGGACGAGUGUUCUACCUGCUAGUCGUUUGUUCGUACACGUCUCAGGGGGUGUCCGAGGUUGGCCUCUCUUCCUGAUUCUCGUUUCACCUCAGCGUUUCCGCUCAGCUCACCAAGGACACGUGUUUGUACCUGCCACGUGAUUCCUGUCACUCCACUUUCGCUUGGCAGAUGUAGUCGUGGCCGAGUGGUUAAGGCGGUGGACUAGAAAUCCGUUGGGGUCUCCCCGCGCAGGUUCGAAUCCUGCCGACUACGUAAGAAUCGUCAC